GAAGCACCGCGGUUUAUUUCGCCGCCUCAGGACUGAGGCGCGGGGACGGGCGCCUGGAAGAGCUGGUUGAGCCGCUCGGCCUCUCGCCAGCCCGACAGCAGCGCGCCGUGGGUGGUGGAGUAGAAGGCGCCCAGCCCGCGCCGUGCCGAGACUGCGAGGAGCCGCCCGCGCACGACUUCGGUGGGGAUGCCCCUUCCCCCGUGGAGUGACCUGAGCAUUGGUGACCCCCGCAAAAGGUCAGCACCGCCCGUCUCUGUCCCCGCCGCACCCCCUGGGGCUGGAUCCUCACCCGGGGGUCGCGGGGGUCCUCGGGCAGGGGCUGUGCGAGCACAUCGAUGUCGUCCCCCGAGCUGCCGACGGCCACGUAGCUGUAGGAGCCGCGGGUGUAGGGAGCGCUGUGCCAGCGGGAGCGGAGCACGCUCCUGGGCGCGGGCAGGCUCGGAUUCCCUGCGGACGGAGCUCGGGGUAGGAUCGACGGAUCGCCCGGGGCAGCGGGCGGGCGGGCGGGGAGGGCGGGGCGGGCACCUGUCAUCGUGCGCAGGACGCGGGUCAUGGCGCUGAGCACCUCGGCGUCGCUCAGCGUCUCCAUGUACUCCGACUCCUUCCCCGCGAUGAAGCCGCACAGGACGUGCCCGUGCCUGGGGCGGGAAGGUGGGGCUGAAAGCUGCUGCACCUGCCCGUGCCCACCAGCGGCACGGAUGCCCCGAAUCCCCGGCCACCUACUGCUCUGGCGGCUGCAGCACCACGAAUCCGAUGAGCUUCUUGAACCAGUUGGCCUCCAGGUCAGCGUCGGGCUCCUCCAGGGGUGACUCGUCCUCCCACACCA